AGGUUUAUCUUGAAGCAAAAUUGUUAGAUUUUUGCCCCAGAAGGAAAUUUAUAAGCCGCAGCUGCAGUUCAAUUAUUUGUCACGAUCAACAACCGAUUUCUUGAGAUUACAUGAAAUUGAAACUCAUUUUCAGAUUAGUAUUGAACAUCGAUUGAAAGAGAAGAAAAAAAAAAUAGAAAAUGAGAUGAAGAACUCAAGAACAACUAAC